AUGGCGAGAGAUAGGGCAAGGGCCAGGUCGAGCCGCGACGCAACAACGCCAGGAGGUCCAAGGCAGGCAGGCGGUGGAGGAUCCCUUCUUAUGGCCGCCAAGUCCAAUCCGGGUCGGGCACUCCAUGGUUUUGUGUUGGAGACGAACUCCAACUCGAUCCAAAUCAGAGUAGAACAACACUGGAGCAAGAGGUAG
rnacentral:rRNA from 1 species